rnacentral:tRNA from 2 species
GCCCGCUUGGCUAAGUGGUAUAGCGUGUCACUAGUAUUCACUAGAUGCCAUGACAAGAUCAGCGGUUCGAUUCCGCUAGUGGGCA